GGCUGUGAACAUGUGGCUGGGAGAGGCCAUUGUCCACACACAGACAGCUCAAGUUGUUCAGCUCCAUUUGCCAACCCAUGCCCUGCCCCUGGCUUGACUGGUCCCCCUCCUCUUCUGCUACUAAAGUCUCUCCUGAAGCUGAGAACCAGCCAAUGAGGAUGACGGUGCCAGGGAGAGAGGAUCCUGUGUUGGUCAAGGAUGUGCGAGUAGCUGUUACCUCCAUUGGCAGUUUUGUCACUAAAAGACCUCAUUCGCUUGAGCAUUUGAGGAUGACCAAAUAGAAUCACUAACUUUGGUUAUUUCCAGUUUGGUCUGCAUU
ensembl:misc_RNA 7SK 7SK RNA